AGGGGGGAUAACAUCCGGAAACGGGUGCUAAUACCGCAUAGUUUUCUUGGUCGCAUGAUCGGGAAAGGAAAGACGGCCUUUGUGCUGUCGCUUAUGGAUGGACCCGCGGCGUAUUAGUUAGUUGGUGAGGUAACGGCUCACCAAGACGAUGAUACGUAGCCGACCUGAGAGGGUGAUCGGCCACAUUGGGACUGAGACACGGCCCAAACUCCUACGGGAGGCAGCAGUAGGGAAUCUUCCGCAAUGGACGAAAGUCUGACGGAGCAACGCCGCGUGAGUGAAGAAGGUUUUUUCCGGAUCGUAAAACUCUGUUGUCAGAGAAGAACAAGUUGGAGAGUAACUGCUCCAGCCUUGACGGUAUCUGACCAGAAAGCCACGGCUAACUACGUGCCAGCAGCAGC
rnacentral:rRNA from 1 species